UCCAUGAUGGUCCAAUGGUUAAAACUCUGUGCUUCUGAUGCAGAGGGUGCAGGUUUGAUCCCUGGUCGGGGAA
rnacentral:tRNA from 1 species